GUGCUCACCUCAGCAGCACAUGUAAUAAAAUUGGAAUGAUGUAGUGAUUAAUGGGGCCCCAACACAAGGGUGACAUGCAGGUUCAUGGAGCGUUCCAUAUUUUU